CUUUGGAACACUUAGAAUUUUACUAUGAAAAACUUCAGGGUUCAAUAGAGAAUGUUUUGUUAAAGCGAAGUGCUACCGCAUUAGCUGCUCACGAGAAAAUAAUUGCCAUCGGGACAACCGAGGGAGCUGUACUAAUAAUUGAUUUUAAAGGGAACAUUAUAGACUCCUUCUCUUGUCAUACUAAAAAAGUAAAUUAUCUUUGCUUUGAUGACAGUGGAGACUUUAUAGCAAGUGCCGGGGGCGACGAAAUAAUUGUUGUAUAUGAAAUAUGUAAACAUUCAAUUCUUCUGAGCAUAACGGGCUAUUCUCCUGACAGCGACUUAUGCA